rnacentral:rRNA from 1 species
GAUCCUGGCUCAGGAUGAACGCUGGCGGCGUGCUUAACACAUGCAAGUCGAGCGAAGCACUUAGGAAAGAUUCUUCGGAUGAUUUCCUAUUUGACUGAGCGGCGGACGGGUGAGUAACGCGUGGGUAACCUGCCUCAUACAGGGGGAUAACAGUUAGAAAUGACUGCUAAUACCGCAUAAGACCACAGCACCGCAUGGUGCAGGGGUAAAAACUCCGGUGGUAUGAGAUGGACCCGCGU